rnacentral:lncRNA from 1 species
GGCCAAAGUCCAGGACGCUUUAAGCGAGGCACUGGAAACCUUUUCCUGUGUGGUCAGGCCUCGAACCAGGACCCUGUUGCUCCGGACAUAACUGUCAUAAAGAGCAGUGAUUUUGAGAUGCCUUGACUCAGAUUGAAGUGGAAAGGACGCACUGAAUGACCCAUGUUUCGUUUCGUGAUGUCGCCGAAUAUUGUACUCGGAGACGCAAACGAAGAUGACCUGGUUGCAGAUGAGGCACAGAGGUUUGGCAUUCACAUAUCCCGACCUGGCUGUGUCUGAUCGCUCUGGGAGUUUCCUGGUUGGACCUGACGCGAAACGAAGUGAGCGGCGUCAGUAUCUUGAUGGAGCAGCCGCAGGAGUCUCAGUCCUGAACACGAGCUGCUCUGCGGGACACUCCUGGACGACUGAGAGCUCACACAAACAUGAGCGUUAACCCUCCCUGGACUGUUUAUACUUUGUAACCCGUAUUUAUUUUAUAUCAGUGUUAUAAAUACCGUGAAGGAGAGAUUUAACAGUUUACUUUUUCUUUUUUUUUUUAAUGGGAAAAACAAGUGGAAAACUGGGGUAAAUUUUGGGGGGGGGGGGGGAGUGUGGGGGGAAAGGGAGAAAAAACAAUCAUUUUUUUCUGCCCUUUUGUUGUUAAAGGAACAGGCCACCGUUUUUCCAUACUGAGAUCUGUUCUUACCUGAGUUUAGACGAGUUGAUACGUACCUGUCUGGUCUUUGUGCCCGUGGAAGAGCGUGGUAGCUUCCAACAUCACCCCGUUUGGAGCCAUAGUAUAUACACUAAAAGUAACUCAACUUUUAACCCAAAGUUGGACCGAUCCAACGUUGGGUAAUUUUUAACCCAACGCUGGGUUGUUUAUUCUUAUUAUUCUUUAACCCAAUGUUUGGGUUAAUUCAUAAUGACCAACCCAGUGCUGUUUUAGAAACUUUACUUCUUACAAAUGCACCAACCACAUAAUUGUUUAACACAACAUCGUCAGCAAAUAAUUAAUUUGGCUGUUAACAGGCCUAAGGAAAGUCCCCACUGUCCAUAUUGUACUUGCUCUAUUUUGGUGAAGUGAUCCUUUUUCAGAGUCAGAGACAGGUCUGGGGACAGUUCAGUCUACAGCAGCAGAGACCACUGUCGAAAUAAAGAGAGACAUCGUCAAAGAUAAAAUCCAAUACCUGGUAACAGUUACUCCACCAGAGACACUGACCUUCCCAUAAGACAGUGACAGUAUAAUGUAAGACCUUACCUUGGUGAAGUGACAGAAGCUUGUGGAGGUCGUCUCAGAGGCAGGCGGACACUUCCUCUGAGCUGAAGAUUCCAGUGGAAGAGAAACAUUACAUUUGUGUUUGGUCUAAAACUAUAAAGAGUCAUGUUAUACUAAAUACUGCACUUACUGGGACUUGUGUCCAGUGAUGCAGAUGAUGAUCUUCAGACAGACAGUGGAAGAGCUCAGGAGAGUUCAUUUUCAUUUAGUUCAUUUGUGCAGAUGUGGCAGCACCAGUCCAUUGUGUUUCCUUGGUCUACAACCUGUAGUACAGCCAUCCAACCUGCCACUGUGAAGUACUUUUUGAUGCGAGGAAUAUCAAUAUUUUUUUAACCUUGAAGGCAUCGGAAACCUUCGCCACUGGUGUCACAUGGCUUUCGUUUAAGGUGCACCCCAGCAGGGCCAUUUCUGCCAUGUGAUCCUCCACAAACCACAGCAGCAUCACUGUCAUUAUAGAUAAAUAUAAACUAGUGUACCAAAUCAUUUCCUGGAGAAUGAAAACAUUUGUUACAGUAUUGUGGCUGGAAAAGUAAACCAACAAUGUACACGUGAACAACUAUUGUAUUGUGGUGUGCAUGUUAUGAGAGGUGCCUCUUACCCAACAGGCUUUGGGGUUUGGGGGCGUGUCCAGCCCUUCCUGUGUGUUCAUCUUUUUCUCCGGCCAUUAUUCCAGUGGCUCAAGAUAAAUAAAGUUGACUCACUUGCAGCUCGCAUGUGUCCUCGUCUUUCUCGCCACAGUAUCAUGUUUUUUUUUGUAAAUGAUGUGAUUCAACAUUAGAAUUAUUAUUAAAAUAUUUUUUUCAAUAUAGAAUGUUUAAUUUAUAAUGCUUGAUUCAGUCCUUCAUAUUCUACUCUUUUUUUUAAAUAAUUUGAUCAUAUCACUGACCUCCCCCCACUAAAUGUUUUAACUACAAUAACAUAAUAUUAACUAUACUGUGUAUAUGUAUGUAUAUGUGUGUAUGUAUAUAUAUACAGUGGGGAAAAAAAGUAUUUAGUCAACCAACAAUUGUGCAAGUUCUCCCACUUAAAAAGAU